rnacentral:rRNA from 1 species
UACGGAGGGGGCUAGCGUUGUUCGGAAUUACUGGGCGUAAAGCGCACGUAGGCGGCUUUGUAAGUUAGAGGUGAAAGCCCGGGGCUCAACCCCGGAAUUGCCUUUAAGACUGCAUCGCUAGAAUUGUGGAGAGGUAAGUGGAAUUCCGAGUGUAGAGGUGAAAUUCGUAGAUAUUCGGAAGAACACCAGUGGCGAAGGCGACUUACUGGACACAUAUUG